UAUAUAUAUAUAUAUAUAUAUAUAUAUAUAUAUAUAUAUUAAAACAGAAAGAGGGAGGUUCUAGAAGGGUCGGUUAAACCGACCUAAGCAACAGAUUAAAAGGAAAAAGGAAGGUUCGGGAAAGGGGGGGAGAAAAUCAGUUCAGACCCAGACCGGGUCAUCCCCGACCCGAACAGAGUCAGCGGGUCAACCCGACUGGUUCUCCGUUUUCCGGCGACGACGAGCAGAAAGAAUGGUAGCGACAGCUUCCUCUCAUUCUCGUGGUCAUGUCCAUGCCCUUGAUUUUCAAAUAAAAAGUCUAGAGUGAGAGAUUCGAAGUAGAGAAGGAGAGGCUGUGUUUGCCGGCGAAUCUCCGAUUCCGGCAGCGGCGACGCCUCUCACUGGUAUGGAUAGCUUCAUCUCGAUCUCAGGAACCUUUCCAUGUUCCUGGUUUUCGAAGAGAAGCUCGGAGGAGGGAGAAUCGAAGAGAAGAAGUUUUAGGAUUUUCCGACGACGGUUUGAUGCUUUCCGGCCACCGACGAAGGCAAGUGAGGUAUGAAACUUGAUCUUCUCGUCGAGCUCUACCUGUUUAUAUAUUUGGAAUUCAGAUUUGGUUAAGUUUGGAAGAAGAUGGAUUUUGGGCAGUCGACCACCGUGCGUGGCUGCUGUGCACGGCGGCGCUUGGAAGAUAAUUUAGUUGAUGUUCUUGUGCUUGAAUUCCAUUUUGGAUGAUAGAUGACAAAUCUGGGUUUUAGGCUGUGUUGACCACGUCCGCCGCCGAUAGCUUCUGCUUGUUUGGUUCUGAAAUUGGUUGAGAGUUGCAGGAUUUGGUACUUGAGGUUCUACUGCUCUACUGUGCAUGACGAUGGUGUUGGUUGUUGGACAAUGUUUGGUUAAUUUAUGAUCAUAUUAGAACUGCAGAGCAUGAUUUUGAGUUGGAAAUGAUGUAUUGGCUAUGUGCUUUGCAAUUUAAGUUGAGAUGGCAGAUUAGGACUGAACGGUGCCAACAACGAUGGGAUGGUGUAAGGGAGACAAGAAGAGUGACAAUGAAUUUAAUAUGAGCGAGCAUGGUGUGUAAUUAGAAAACUUUCGGAGAAAAUGAGAGGAAGUGUGGGAUUGAGAACUUGGGUGUCCUUAU
rnacentral:lncRNA from 1 species